GCUGGGUGUGGUGGUGCACGCCUGUAAUCCCAGCUACUUGGGAGGCUGAGGCAGGGGAAUUGCUUGAACCCGGGAAGUGGAGGUUGCAGUGAGCUGAGAUCAUGCCACUGCACUCCAGCCUGGGUGACAGAGAGAGACCCUGUCUCCA
rnacentral:SRP_RNA from 1 species